GAGUUUGAUCUUGGCUCAGAUUGAACGCUGGCAGCAUGCCUUACACAUGCAAGUCGAACGGCAGCACGGGAGCUUGCUCCUGGUGGCGAGUGGCGAACGGGUGAGUAAUGCAUCGGAACGUAUCCUGGAGUGGGGGAUAACGUAGCGAAAGUUACGCUAAUACCGCAUAUUCUGUGAGCAGGAAAGCGGGGGACCUUCGGGCCUCGCGCUCUUGGAGCGGCCGAUGUCGGAUUAGCUAGUUGGUGAGGUAAAGGCUCACCAAGGCGACGAUCCGUAGCAGGUCUGAGAGGAUGAUCUGCCACACUGGAACUGAGACACGGUCCAGACUCCUACGGGAGGCAGCAGUGGGGAAUUUUGGACAAUGGGGGCAACCCUGAUCCAGCCAUGCCGCGUGAGUGAAGAAGGCCU
rnacentral:rRNA from 1 species